rnacentral:rRNA from 1 species
UGAGGAAUUUUGCGCGAUGGGAGCAAUCCUGACGCAGCAACGCCGCGUGGGUGAUGAAGGCCUUCGGGUCGUAAAGCUCUGUCGUCGGGGACGAACGGUCACAUCAGGAAAUGGGUGUGAAGUGACGGUACCCGAGAAGGAAGCCACGGCUAACUACGUGCCAGCAGCCGCGGUAAUACGUAGGUAGCGAGCGUUGUCCGGAAUUAUUGGGCGUAAAGCGCGCGCAGGUGGGAUCUUAAGUCUGUUUUCAAAGUGCGGAGCUUAACUCCGUGAUGGGAUAGAAACUGGGAUUCUUGAGUACCGGAGAGGAAAGCGGAAUUCCCCGUGUAGCGGUGAAAUGCGUGGAUAUGGGGAGGAACACCAGUGGCGAAGGCGGCUUUCUGGACGGUGUCUGACACUGAGGCGCGAAAGCCAGGGGAGCGAACG